rnacentral:rRNA from 1 species
UACGUAGGUGGCAAGCGUUGUCCGGAAUUAUUGGGCGUAAAGCGCGCGUAGGCGGUCCUUUAAGUCUGAUGUGAAAGCCCACGGCUCAACCGUGGAGGGUCAUUGGAAACUGGGGGACUUGAGUACAGAAGAGAAGAGUGGAAUUCCACGUGUAGCGGUGAAAUGCGUAGAGAUGUGGAGGAACACCAGUGGCGAAGGCGACUCUUUGGUCUGUAACUGACGCUGAGGCGCGAAAGCCAGGGGAGCAAACGGG